GGCCAGACUCUACGGGAGGCAGCAGUGGGGGAUAUUGCACAAUGGGGGAAACCCUGAUGCAGCGACGCCGCGUGAGUGAAGAAGUAUUUCGGUAUGUAAAGCUCUAUCAACAGGGAAGAAAAAAGACGGUACCUGACUAAGAAGCCCCGGCUAACUACGUGCCAGCAGCCGCGGUAAUACGUAGGGGGCGAGCGUUAUCCGGAUUCACUGGGUGUAAAGGGAGCGUAGACGGCCAUGCAAGCCAGGGGUGAAAGCCCGGGGCCCAACCCCGGGACUGCCCUUGGAACUGCAUGGCUGGAGUGCGGGAGGGGCAGGCGGAAUUCCUGGUGUAGCGGUGAAAUGCGUAGAUAUCAGGAGGAACACCGGCGGCGAAGGCGGCCUGCUGGACUGCGACUGACGUUGAGGCUCGAAAGCGUGGGGAGCGAACAGGAUUAGAUACCCCCGUAA
rnacentral:rRNA from 1 species